AGCGUAGACGUUCUUCUCAGCUGGAAAUGUCAUUGGAAAUUAGUCUUGUUUAUUUCGAAAUCUAUUUAAGAAUGACUUACCCCAUGUCCGGCAUUUCUUCUCGAUGGUGUCAACUUUAAUAAGCUUUCAUCAAAAAUGUGCCUGGAUUUUCUGCGUCCACAUCCGAAGAAAUGGCGUAGAAAUAACGGUACGGCUUCCCUGCACAAACAAAUAAUUGAUCUGUGGCGUUUCGCAGCCCAGCGGGCAAAGUUCGUCCGGUUUGAUGUACAUUGAUGAGCCACCGUUCAUCCAUUUGGCUUCAGAUAACGAAUGAGCCGUCGAUGUACAUGCAGUCCAACAUUUUAGCAUUGGCGUAGCAGCAGAUGUCGACAAUCAGGUGAUCGUCAGCUUCGAAUGCGUUGACA